rnacentral:tRNA from 1 species
AUCUGGGUAGUUUAAUACCAAAAUAUUGAUUUGUGGGAUCAAAGAUGUAAUUGUACCCUAGGUA